UAAAAAUCCUAAAAUAUUGAAAGGUCAAGCAUGUGACGUCAUCACGCCCCUUAGUAACCUUUUGUUUAUUGUCCAGUUUAGAAAGUACAGUAUUGCGUCAACCACCAGAUACACUGAGUGAUUCCUAGCGAUAGAAUAAUAACAGUAAUGCCGAAAAAUUGUGUUGUUGGGGGUUGCCCGAAUUCCGAUAAGAAUGAUGUUCAUUUUUUUGUGUUUCCAAAAAAUCCAAGAAUUAGACGACAGUGGAUUCGCUUCGUUCAGUUUACGAGGAAGAAUUUCGUAAGUCCAAGUGCUCACGCAAAAAUUUGUAGUGUUCACUUUGAUACAGAAAGUUACGACAUAACAUGUCAAAUGAAACGAAAGCUGGGGCUUUCCUCCGUCCUAAGACUAAAGAAAAACGCUGUCCCAACAAUAAAAAAAAGAAAAGGAAACAACGGGAAUGGAAAAUAAAAGGACGUACGCCUUAAAGCGCCAGAGAAAACAGUAUGUUGAAAACAUAUUAGAAGAUAGUAGGCAGAAAAGUGAGGAAGGUGAAAGCACACUGCCAGUACCAACAAUUGAAAAUGCAUCAUCUCAUUUAGCCUCGUUUGUUAAAGAAUAUCAGCAGAGCAGAAACUUGCAGGAUAAUUCAAAAACAUCCACUACAAAGUGCAGAAAAAAAAAAGACAAAGUCUAAACGCUCAAUGCGUGUGCAAGUUGGCUCAAAAAUGUGUACCAAAGAAACUCAAACUGACCCCCAAAUCACUGGAGUUGAUUUGCCUUUGACAGAGGUACCACCAAGUGGUAACUCAAUUUUUGAAGAACCAAUCACUGCAAUACCAGUAGGCACAUCAACUCCCAAUCAAAGCGAAGACGAGUCUUCACCUUGUGAGAGUGAUCAUCAUGUUAGCAUCUUUGAUAGAACUUUCAAUCCAGACAACACAUAUCUUUCAUCAUCAUUAAUGUAAGUUAACAAGGAAUUACAAAUAGUAGUUCUAGGAAUUAU